GCAAAGGAGAGUUGACAGUUAAUACACAUAUAAUGAGUACCAUCAUUCUUUUGAACAUGUACUUCCUGGUGUCAAUUCAAUUUAACCAAGCCCAAAGUUAUGCAUUAUUAUCUCUGUUAAUAAUGCAUGACUCAAUGCAUAUUUCCAUUCCUGACAAUUCACCUGUCAUCCAUUGAAUUGGCAUGGCUGGUUUAUUUAUAUAAUUAUACCAAUAUUUCUUCACACUAAGUUAAUUACAGUGGUUGCAAAAGUUCUGGCUUCUUCUACUUUACAUAGGAUCUAUAAUCUCUUCAAAAACCUUCAUGGCAAUCUGUUGUUUUGUCUUGCAGAAACUGUAAAGUGGAAGCCAACAUUGAUGGUCCUUGGAAGACCAAUCUGAGGAUAUAUUUCCUGUAACGCCUGAGGAGGUUUGACCAGCUGCAAGUCCUCAGCAAAGGUGUGGCCUCAUCUUGCCAUCGGAAAUAACGCCCUUGGGGAUAGGUUCUUGGAAUUAUUCUUUUGAAACUUAACACCGAGCUCUAGAGCACCAUGUUGGUGACAAAGGGGCAAUCUGUGGCAUUGGCACUGGAGCUAGAGAUUGUGGUGAAACUACAGAGUCACAGACAAAAUGGUGGUCACUGUUUAGACAAAGAAUCAACAAACAGAUGGUGAGAUAAUGAAACUCAUGACUCACCCAGCACAUAGGUGUGCCGUACCGGCAGAAUGCCUUUAAUCACUGGAGGAGAAAGGGGGUUGAAUGUUUGUAUGAUCUGCAUUGCUGGUGCACCUGAAAGAGUGGAAAAAAUCCACACAUGGUUACAUGGUGGCUGAAAUCUGACCGGGAAACGGGACCAAAAUAUGAGAGCUCAUGUUCACCAGAUGGCAUCAGAGAGGCGGUAGUGGCGAUCGUUAAGGGGAAGCGUACAAGCGAGGACACGCCAGUGACGUGGAAAUCCCCUUCCUGCACAGCCAUGUUGACUUCAGGGGG